rnacentral:rRNA from 1 species
AACGAACGCUGGCGGCACGCCUAACACAUGCAAGUCGAGCGCGCCCUUCGGGGUGAGCGGCGGACGGGUUUAGUAACGCGUGGGAACGUACCCUUCUCUACGGAAUAGCCAUUGGAAACGAUGAGUAAUACCGUAUACGCCCUUUUGGGGGGAAAAGAUUUAUCGGCGAAGGAUCGGCCCGCGUUAGAUUAGAUAGUUGGUGGGGUAAUGGCCUACCAAGUCUACGAUCUAUAGCUGGUUUGAGAGGAUGAUCAGCAACACUGGGACUGAGACACGGCCCAGACUCC